AUGUGUUACCCUAGCAGCUGCACAAUCUCUCUGUAACCACACCAAUUCCUAACAGCCGCCACACAUAGACUCUUCCUCUUCUCCAUUCACUCAUAUCUCCACCGUUUCUUUCACCUUGACCUUGCUCCUCCGUUCCAGAUCUCUUUAUUCCGGUGACCUCCACUAUUAAUUAUUUACACUCUUCAUCAACAACAACAACACAAACUCAAGAAUGCAUAAACAGAGAGAGACUCAGAAAUUAAACGAUGAAGAGUGCACCAGGAGAUCAGAUCCACAGUGAAAAAGAUGAUUUUGAUCUGAUUUAUUUCUUUUCUUUUCUUAUUUCAUUUGUAUUUGGAUUUGUUUAUUUGUGGUCUUUCCUGCUCAUGUCUUCCAUGGAUUUUCUAUUUAAGUAUUUUAUAGACAAUCCUUCUUCAUCAACAUUAUUCUGUGUAUUUUUCUUUGAUUUUUUUUGUUAAACUGAAAUAUUAAGUAACCGAUUCAACUCGCCCGUCGUAUCCGACAAACCGUAUAAACCGAAUCCGAUCAAACCGAGUGCACCGCACGGACGAAAAUGGGUGGGAUUUCAUCACCCAUCGGUCACAUCGGAUUUGGGUUUUUCAGCUGAAAAUCGAUCGAGGCCGACCGAUGUCCACCCCUAGUUGGAUCCACUCAGAUCAAGGUCGAAAGUUCCAUAUUUCAAUGCAUAAUUUAAUUUUUUAUAAACUCAGAGUUCUUCAAAAUUUGGAUAUUCCGAUCUUGAUCAAGAUAUCACAGACGUCUCUACCUACAAGACUAUGUGUCCUUGGUCGAUUUGCCCAUAUAAAUCGUAAUCCGGUGAAUGUUGCAGCUAAAGUUGUGGCUUUGUAGGAGAAUUCAUUCCUCUCGAGUAAACUCCGCCGUCAACUACAUAGACUAAUCUCUUGAGCUGAGUGGAAAAUCUCUCCGACAAGAAAUUUAACAAUGUUGCAUUCUCAGGGCUGAAUUCAAACUCUGAACCUCGGAGAUAAAAGGAACUAUGAGUGAAUUACCAGAGAAACAUGACAACCAUGAUAAGAAAAAAGACAAAUCAGAUGAAGAUUCAAGAAAUAAAAAAGUGUCAUCUUCAAAUGCUAGCAAGACUAAGGAUAAAUAACAUCAAAUGAAAUUUUCAAGACCAAAUGAAGAAGAUUCUAGACAGGGGCAGAUCGAGGGUGUUUUGUUUCAGGCUUCCGUACGCUUCCCACUUGAAUGUAGAAUUGGCCGCGUCAGAGCCUUGUAAAGUUGUGGCUCUGUAGGAGAAUGCAUUCCUCUCGGUAUGUUUUUUUCUUUCUUCUUGAGAACAUAACUUUAUCAUUUGUGAAUGUGAUGAAUGAUUAUUUUUUUAUUUGGUAGAUUUGAUUUAUUCCUUUUGUAUUUAAGGGCGUUAAAUUGCAAACCUUAAUCCAACACUUGUUUUGAGCUUUGAUUUUAUUCAAGAUUAAUUUUUUUUAGAUUUAAAUAUUGUUCGACAAUAUAAAAUGAAUAUUUUUUUUAUUUAUGGCAAAGUUGUGUUAAUUGAUUUUUAAAAGGAACGUGGAUUUAUAGAAAUAUAUAGAGUACGCAUCCCUCAGAAUUUCCUCAAAAGCAUCCAAAGAAAUCAAAUUAUCAAUAUAAACAUGCUUACAAGGUUGUUUCAAUAAUUGCAUGAAUAAGAACAAUUGGAUCAGAAAAAUCUAGUUGAUAUUGCACAACCCAUUUCAGUUUAAUUUUUCUUAGAAAAUAUUUUUUGUCUUGUGUUUUAAUUCACCAAUAAUUAAUAUAACUACCUAUUUUCUAAUUCUUUCAUUGUUUAGCAAUAGGAAUUUUAGGGUUCUAAUUUUGAGAAGACAACCUUUAUUUACUUGGCCAACUUGUUGCUGCUAUUAUAUCAUAAGUUGGUCUUAUACUCACGGUUGCGGAUGGAAAAUUUAUGGGAAGAAAGGGAUCUCUGCAUAUUCUUUGACCUUCUGGAGUUGGAGCUGAAUUUAAAUCGAUGGAUACACCCUUUCCUUUGUUCGAAGAAUUGGUUUGAGUAACAGGUUGAAACGCAACAUGCUCAAAUUUGUCAAAAUAUUAUAAACGAUUAGGCAUUUGAAUUUCACCUGAAGGUGGUGACAUCUCAUAAUAUGAGUAAUAUGGAGAAAAAUCAUCAUCCACUUCCAACUCAGGAAUCUUUUCAUUGGUGUUGAGAUUGAUACAUGCUUCUGAAUUUCCAGUAUUUUGUGUUAGACUGACAUAGCUUGCUACCAAAGGACCAUUCACAUUACCAUCACCUUGAAUUAGUGAAGGUUGAUCAGAGGCGAACAUGUGCAAAGUAACACCAUUUCCUUUUCUUAUUGUGAUCAAGUAUCCACCAGGAAUUACUCAAUCGAUAACACAAGUGAUUUCCAUUUGUAGCCUGAUUUCUUCACGAGGAUUACUUGGGGGUAUUACUGGUGUAUCAUGGUCAUGGCUGUGAUGUUUCCCUUGUAGUCCACUCAUUGUUCUUUUAUCUCUGUAAUAACAUAAAUUAUUUGUCAUUCACUAGUGAAGAACACUUAAUCAAUUAAGUAUGGAACUUGAUUAA